AGUGAACGCUAACGGCGUGCUUAACACAUGCAAGUCGAACGAGAACGGAUUAUAGCUUGCUAUAAUUGUCAGCUAAGUGGCGCACGGGUGAGUAAUGUAUAGGUAAUAUGCCUCUUACUAAGGGAUAACAAAUGGAAACGUUUGCUAAUACCUUAUACUCCUUAUUAACAUAAGUUAAUAAGGGAAAGAUUUAUUGGUAAGAGAUUAGCCUGUAUUGUAUCAGUUAGUUGGUGGGGUAAUGGCUUACCAAGACUAUGACACAUAACUGGUUUGAGAGGAUGAUCAGUCACACUGGAACUGAGACACGGUCCAGACUCCUACGGGAGGCAGCAGUGGGGAAUAUUGCACAAUGGACGAAAGUCUGAUGCAGCAACGCCGCGUGGAGGAUGACACAUUUCGGUGCGUAAACUCCUUUUAUAUGAGAAGAUAAUGACGGUAUUAUAUGAAUAAGCACCGGCUAACUCCGUGCCAGCAGCCGCAGUAAAAC
rnacentral:rRNA from 1 species